UUUAGCUGAAGGAUUCGCUACAGCAACUGUGCUCCAAAACUUGAUGCAGCGCUAGACAAAAUAAACCAUGGAGAAGCAGAGAAGCCAUCCCAAAUCAAUUUAUUAACCACAAAAAUAUUGGCGUUGUAAGAGUAAAAAAACUGGGCUGGCUUCGCUAUUGACCAUGGAAGCUCAAUUCAAAUUCAUUAUACCUUAAAAGAAACGAUUUUGAAAUAGAUUUUAAGUUUGAGUUAUAGAUAUAUAAGAAAAACAGUUACACAAAUCAAAUUGCUUUUAAGGUAUUUUGAAAUGUAAAUACAUCCAAGAACAAUAAGCUCUUUUUUGGCGCAUCUAGUAAACACACUUCUGGUCGUUUUUGAAUGACCGAACGCUCCCUA